GGGAUUCGAUUUAGCCAUGCUAGUCGAGCGAGUUUAGACUCGCGGCGAAUAGCUCAGUAACACGUGGCCAAGCUCCCCUUCAGUCAGCGACACCCUCGGGAAACUGAGGUUAACAGCUGAUACAAAACGCCAGCUGGAAUGCGGCGUUUCAGAAAGACAUCGCUGAAGGAUGCGGCUGCGGCCGAUUAGGUUGACGGUGGGGUAACGGCCCACCGUGCCAGUAAUCGGUACGGGUGAUGAGAGUCAGAGCCCGGAGACGGAAUCUGAGACAAGAUUCCGGGCCCUACGGGGCGCAGCAGGCGCGAAACCUUUACACUGCACGGAAGUGCGAUAGGGGAAUCCCAAGUGCGAGGGCAUAUUAGCCCUCGCUUUUCUCGACUGUAAGGUGGUCGACGAAUAAGAGCUGGGCAAGACCGGUGCCAGCCGCCGCGGUAAUACCGGCAGCUCAAGUGAUGUCCCAUAUUAUUGGGCCUAAAGCGUCCGUAGCUGGCCGACCAAGUCUACCGGGAAAUCCACCCGCCCAACGGGUGGGCGUCCGGUAGAAACUGGCCGGCUUGGAACCGGAAGGCUCAGAGAGUACGUCCGGGGUAGGAGUGAAAUCCCGUAAUCCCGGACGGACUACCGAUGGCGAAAGCACUCUGAGAAGACGGCUUCGACAGUGAGGGACGAAAGCUCGGGUCUCAAACCGGAUUAGAUACCCGGGUAGUC
rnacentral:rRNA from 1 species